UACGGAGGGUGCAAGCGUUAAUCGGAAUUACUGGGCGUAAAGCGCGCGUAGGUGGUUUUGUAAGUCGGAUGUGAAAGCCCCGGGCUUAACCUGGGAACUGCAUUCGAUACUGCGGAACUAGAGUAUGGAAGAGGGAAGUGGAAUUCCGGGUGUAGCGGUGAAAUGCGUAGAUAUCCGGAGGAACACCAGUGGCGAAGGCGACUUCCUGGUCCAAUACUGACGCUGAGGUGCGAAAGCGUGGGGAGCAAACAGG
rnacentral:rRNA from 1 species